GUUAUAUCACCACAAGUCAUAGUAGAUGUAAGCACUUACUAGUGCUAUAGUUACUUAUUAGUAAUAUAAUAGUGCAUUAUUUACAGAUAAUUAAAUUUAUAUGUACUAAGAAGCAGGAGAUUUGUCAUAUUUCAUAUAUGUAUGUUCUGUAUGUAUUUGAGGUAUAUACAUGUAUACUAUGUAUGCGGUUUAGAAUAAAAAUGUUAAAUAGUUUGUACAAAUCUGGUUUAUGUUAAGCACACAGUUUGCUAUUUUUUCCCCCUUAUUUCAUGCUGAUUUUGUUCUAGGUGUCUUGGUUGAAUGGAUUUUUUGAUUUUGAUAGCCUUGUUUUGUGGGUAAGGAACUCCUUGCUCAGACAGAAUUUUCAACCGUUACCUUGAGAGCAGAUGUAUAAUUUUAAAUUGGAAUAUUCAGGCACUGAGUUACAGCUUGUAACUGUUGUACUUUGCUCUCUGUUUCUGGCACAGGAAGGCUCAAAGAUAUCUACAUGUAACAUCCCAAGUUUAAAAUGGUUACCUAUACAAAUAACACAUUUUAAGAAGUCAAGCCUCAAGGAACUGUUAGGUGGAAAUAUGUAUAAAUGGGAAAAACGACAGAGGUUAUCCUGGAGAUGCUCAGACAGGAGACAGCAAAAACUAUUUAAAUGA
rnacentral:lncRNA from 1 species